CCUACGGGAUGCAGCAGUGAGGAAUAUUGGUCAAUGGACGAGAGUCUGAACCAGCCAAGUAGCGUGAAGGAUGACUGCCCUAUGGGUUGUAAACUUCUUUUAUAUGGGAAUAAAAUGUUCCACGUGUGGGAUUUUGUAUGUACCAUAUGAAUAAGGAUCGGCUAACUCCGUGCCAGCAGCCGCGGUAAUACGGAGGAUCCGAGCGUUAUCCGGAUUUAUUGGGUUUAAAGGGAGCGUAGGUGGAUUGUUAAGUCAGUUGUGAAAGUUUGCGGCUCAACCGUAAAAUUGCAGUUGAAACUGGCAGUCUUGAGUACAGUAGAGGUGGGCGGAAUGCGUGGUGUAGCGGUGAAAUGCUUAGAUAUCACGAAGAACUCCGAUUGCGAAGGCAGUUCACUGGACUGCAACUGACACUGAGGCUCGAAAGUGUGGGUAUCAAACAGGAUUAGAUACCCCGGUAGUC
rnacentral:rRNA from 1 species